UCCUUCCUUGUCUUGGGGAGCAGAAAUGUUCAAUGAACGUCUAGUGAGAACAUUGCUGCUGACACCAAUGAUAUAAAUAUCAACCCCCGUUCGACUAACGAUCGUUCGGAAUUUUUGGAAAU
rfam:Drosophila busckii chromosome 3R sequence.